GCAGGGAUAGCUCAGUGGCAGAGCACAUGCUUAGCAUGCAUGAGGGUCCUCGGUUCAAUCCUCAGUACCUCCA
rnacentral:tRNA from 1 species